rnacentral:rRNA from 1 species
CCAGGUUGUACCUGCCUGUAGUCAUAUGCUUGUUUCAAAGACUAAGCCAUGCACGUCUCAGUAUAAACUCUUAUGAGUGAAACCGCGAAUGGCUCAUUAAAUCAGAUGUGAUUUCUUGGAGAUCAGGACAGUACAUGUCUUACAUGGAUAACUGUGGUAAUUCUAGAGCUAAUACAUGCUAAAAUGGUCAUCCUCCCAAGGGUGGCUUGCGUUUAUUAGAUCAAAACCAACGGUCGCAAGACCAAAAGUUUGAUGACUCUGGAUAACCGAGCUGAUCAUGGCUUCACAGCCGUGACACCUCCUUCAAGUGUCUGCCUUAUCAACUUUCGAUGGUCGGUCAAGUGCCUACCAUGGUUGUAACGGGUAACGGGGAAUCAGGGUUCGAUUCCGGAGAGGGAGCCUGAGAGACGGCUACCACAUCCAAGGAAGGCAGCAGGCACGUAAAUUACCCAAUCCCAGUACGGGGAGGUAGUGACGAAAAAUAACCACGGGGUCAGUAUACACUGAACCCUGAUGGGAAUGAGACAAAGCUAAACCUCUGAACGAGGAUCAAUUGGAGGGCAAGUCUGGUGCCAGCAGCCGCGGUAAUUCCAGCUCCAAUAGCGUAUAUUAAAGUUGUUGCAGUUAAAAAGCUCGUAGUUGGAUCUCAUGUAGUAUGUGAUUUGGUCAACCUCGCGGUUGUACUGAUCACUGCCUACAGAUCGGCAUCGACUAUAGGGCGGCCUUAACCGGCUACUCUAUUCUGUUGAUACCGCUUUACUUUGACAAAAUUAGAGUGCUCAAAGCAAGCGACAAACGCUACGCUUGAAUAAUCUCGCAUAGAAUAACAUAACACGACUCCGGUCUGUUUUGUUGGUUCACAGCCCUUACCGGGGUAAUGAUUAAGAGGAACAGUCGGGAGCAUUCGUAUUGCAAGGAUAGAGGUGAAAUUCUUGGACCCUUGCAAGACGAACAACAGCGAAAGCAUUUGCUAAGAAUGUUUUCAUUAAUCAAGAACGAAAGUCAGGGGAUCGAAGGCGAUCAGAUACCGCCCUAGUCCUGACCAUAAACGAUGUCAGCCAGUCCGGCGUAAGAUCUCAGAUUGGCCCCUCACAGGGUCUUGCAGAGACCUACGCCGAGCUUCGGAAAACCAGAGCAUGACUCCGGGGGAAGUAUGGUUGCAAAGCUGAAACUUAAAGGAAUUGACGGAAGGGCACCACCAGGAGUGGAGCCUGCGGCUUAAUUUGACUCAACACGGGAAAACUCACCCGGCCAGGACACUGCGAGGAUUGACAGGCUGAUAGAUCUUUCUUGAUUCAGUGGGUGGUGGUGCAUGGCCGUUCUUAGUUGGUGGAGUGAUUUGUCUGGUUAAUUCCGAUAACGAGCGAGACUCUCGUCUGUUGUUGGUGUAUCGGGUUGUCUUGAAUCCUUUACCGGAUCCUUGACUCAUACCUGUAUACUCACACUUCAGAGACAAACUGCAAACAAGCAGAACGAGAAAGAGCAAUAACAGGUCUGUGAUGCCCUUAGAUGUCCGGGGCCGCACGCGGACUACACUGGGGGGAUCAGUAUGCACAGGAGUGACGGUUUACGCCUGACCUCUCAUCCUUUCCAGGAAUGGACAGGAAAACAUCCGAAAUCCCCCCGUGAUCGGGACAGGGCAUUGUAAUUAUUGCCCUCGAACGAGGAAUUCCCAGUAAGCGUGAGUCAUCAACUUGCGUUGAUUACGUCCCUGCCCUUUGUACACACCGCCCGUCGCUACUACCGAUUGAAUGAUUUAGUGAGAUGGUUGGAGCGGGUGGUUGUUGGUUUCACGACCGGUGACCGUCUGCGAAGACCCUCAAACUUGAUCAUUUAGAGGAAGUAAAAGUCGUAACAAGGUUUCCGUAGGUGAACCUGCGGAAG